GGAACAAGGAGUGAGGGGCAUGACCGGGCCAGAAAAAGUUGCCAGGGGCCAGAGCAGUCGAUUUCAUUCUCGAUGCAGUGCUUUCAGCCCACGAGCGAGCGCCCGCAAUCCGAGGAGCGUGUUAAUCAGGUCCCUCUGUGUUUCUUGUGUGCAGAUGGGCUGGGGGAGGAGAGACUGAAGCAGAGAGCCCCCGGGGGAGGAUUUUGCAGGCCUAAGGGGGAGAAAGAGGGAGAGGGAGAGAGAACGUGCCUUGGGCUCUGGUGGUGACGUGGGGGCCACGUGGGAGGACACCAGAUGCACGAGGGAAGACUUGGGGUGGGGCGAGGGCAGAGAGGACUCCGGGAUUGUCGGGCGAGGUCGCGAGGUCGCCGAUAGCACGUGACUCCGGGUCGACCCGGCAAUUGGAGAGCCCUGGCCCCGCCCCUGACCCUGGAGUUGGCCCCGCCCGCUGAUCUGGGGAGGGAGCCAUUUUCACGGUUCCGCCCUGGAGGGCAGCAGGUGGUGUUGAGCCCGUCAGGAUGCUGACUGAGCUCGGUUGAGGCCUCUGUAUAAACUGCAAGCUUCUGGCGGUGGGGGCGGAGAGGUGCCCCUCCCUAGGUUCCCUGGCUGCUUAAAACUGCCCCUGGGGUGGCCUGCCUCCGUCUCCCGUGUCUCUCUGUGCUGCGUGCGCUCCGUGCGCUGGCCGGUUUCGGAUGCCAGGGGGACCCGGGCGUUGGCACCUGCAGGGCUCAGGACUUCACCCCCGGCUCCGGAGGGGCGGCGGGCCAUCAACUGAGUGGGGAAGACGAAAGAAGAGCCGCCUUGUGGGCUAGAAGGCUGAGCCCCAGAGAUGAACCUACCAGUCUGCUCUGCAGUCAGCUCCCCAGCACCACCUCACACGAGCUGGGUAACCUUAGAGGAAAACGCUGAAGCUCAGAGAGGUUGGGUCACUUUCCUGACAUCACACCGUAACCGGCAGAGCCCAGAGUGGACCCCAACCUGAGAUCAGAGAGGUAGCAACACCCCCUAACCAGCGGACACGCGAGGGCUGGCACAGUUUUCUGCGGGCCCGUCUUAGGAUCGGGAAGCAGCCAGCUCCGUGUGCAGAGUGAGGCUGGAUAAACGCUUUAGAGGCGGCGGCCAGAGCUGGGUCUAGAAUCCGUCCUCGGUCCCAGACUCCAGCACGUUGAUGCCACAUGGGGAGGGGCACAAAGGGAGCUGGUUUCGAGAUGCAGCGACGUGACAGCAGCCUCUUCAUGCUCAGAUUUCGUAUCAGUGCCUUGGUCGGGAAUAAAAGAUGUGCCACAGCUGCUGUGUCCCCUCGUCAGAGAGGUCGUGGGCAGUUGUAUCCACGCCGUGCUUUCUUUCCCUUGCGUUCUGGCUCUGGAACAGUCACGGUUUCGGUUUGAGCCAUCCAGGAGGCCAUUGCAAGCCUGUUAACAGUUCUGGGCUUCGUUCACGUGUAUCAGAGACGUGCAGGGCUCCGUCGUUAACACGCGUUGACGGGUGGUGAUGGCAAGCCACAAAGGGUUCAAGCUGCCUCCACUUUAGGGUCAAGAGUACAGACGCGUGCGUGAGAGAGAGAGCAGGCGACUCCCCCACUUAGUCGGCAAUUUCUCUCUCCUCCCAUUGUGCCACACAUACACGCACACGCGUGCACACACACACACACACACACACACACACACACACACGCUUGUGCCUGUACACAUGCUGUUGAUUGAUAUUCUCCCCUCACGCUAAGCUUGCUAAGUAGCAAUGAUUUUCUCCUGGCAAUUUCACUUCUAACCAGAGGCACCUGUAUUUCGAAAUUGUACAAAAGCCCCGUAUAUUUGAUACCAUGCGGGCUCUCGGUGGGUUUCAGAGGUGGAUUAAAUUCACCAACAAGGUGGUCGAUAGAACAUAAAAUAUGAAAGAGAUUGUAAUUUUGUGGUGGGUCCUUGUUGUAGGCAACCUCCCUCUCCCUGGGUGCGUCGAGGAGGGGCCCCUUCCUGCACUUCUAGUGUCUGUUUUAGGUCCGUGAGGGGGAAAGCAAGAGAAUUUCGAGUCGAGUGAAAAAGAAAACCCAGAGAGUUGGAGGCUUACAUUAGGUGGGAAAAGAACACCACCCUCAGGUGGAUGGGCGCGGGAGGACGUCUUCGUAAGGCGGUGGGUUCGGGGUUAAGCCUGGGUUUCCAAGAAGCCCCCUUGUUCUUGACUGUUAGGGGGUGGGGCCGUGGCUACCGCAUUGGGUCUCGUGGGUCACCGCGUGGAACUUGGGGAACC